AUUGCUCUCUGAGGCUUGCAGUCUGGCAGCACGGCCGACAAGAACGGGGCCCUCAAGUGCACCUUCUCGGCACCCAGCCACAGCACCAGCCUCCUGCAGGGCCUGGCCACCCUCCGCGCUCAGGGCCAGCUCCUCGAUGUUGUGCUGACUAUUAACAGAGAGGCCUUUCCUGCACACAAGGUCGUCCUGGCUGCCUGCAGCGACUACUUCAGGGCCAUGUUCACCGGCGGCAUGCGGGAGGCAAGCCAGGACGUCAUCGAGCUGAAGGGCGUGUCGGCCCGUGGCCUGCGGCACAUCAUCGACUUCGCCUACAGCGCCGAGGUGACACUGGACCUGGACUGCGUGCAGGACGUGCUGGGCGCGGCCGUGUUCUUGCAGAUGCUGCCCGUGGUGGAGCUGUGCGAGGAGUUCCUGAAGGCGGCCAUGAGCGUGGAGACCUGCCUCAACAUCGGCCAGAUGGCCACCACCUUCAGCCUGGCCUCGCUGCGAGAGUCGGUGGAUGCCUUCACCUUCCGGCACUUCCUGCAGAUCGCCGAGGAGG
rnacentral:sRNA from 1 species